rnacentral:pre_miRNA from 1 species
GCUCUGCCGGCUGGCAGGCCCCCAAGCUGAGCUGGGAGAGUAUUUCUUUGAAAGGCUCACCCUCAAGCAUGAUGAAGAGG